CUUGGGAACGCGACGGACAUUGCUCUACUCCACUUGGCAUCCUCUUAGACCCCCUCGUGAGCCUUGGCCGACGCCUGGCAAUGCUGGUUGGCUGCACUCGUAUCUGACGAGCCCGGCGACGUCUUGCUGCAGCGGUAGCCUUGAGUGCCAGCAUCAGCGCAGUUCCAUCCGUGCUGUUUUGCACACGAGCCAGCUCCUCUCCAAGGCCCUUCAGGAUCUCGAGGCUGACCACCAAUAAAGUGUGAAUCUGGGUCCUUAAGGAGCUUGAACACCAUCAGGUGCCAAUGCUCUGCUCAUUGUGGACAAGUACUGCGACAAGGACAGCACCUGCCUUCGUGCAAUAUUUCUGGAUGCUUCUUCAUUGUGACUAAUGUGAAACUAUUGUGCAAUUUAACCUUUGUUUACUUCACUAAAAUAAUAAAUAAACCCAACAAUUACAAGAGCAAGCUUGGAAGUGUUGAGACUUCAUAUUACUUUGACUAAAAAAUAAUAAAAAUAUAGUUUUUUAAUGCAGGAAGUUUUUGCUUUUGUUUAUUCCAAAACAGGCCAACUGCAUCUCUUAAAG